CUACGGGGGGCUGCAGCAAGGAAUAUUGUGCAAUGGGCGAAAGCCUGACACAGCGACACCGCGUAGGGGAAGAAGGCCUUCGGGUUGUAAACCCUUUUUCCCAGGGAAGAACAAUGACGGUACCUGGGGAAUAAGUCUCGGCUAACUACGUGCCAGCAGCCGCGGUAAUACGUAGGAGGCAAGCGUUAUUCGGAUUUAUUGGGCGUAAAGAGGGCGUAGGCGGCUUUUCAAGUCGGGUGUGAAAUCUCUCAGCUUAACUGGGAGGGGUCAUUCGAUACUGUUAAGCUAGAGGGCAGCAGAGGGAGGUGGAAUUCCCGGUGUAGUGGUGAAAUGCGUAGAUAUCGGGAGGAACACCAGUGGCGAAGGCGGCCUCCUGGGCUGCUUCUGACGCUCAGGCCCGAAAGCGUGGGGAGCAAACAGGAUUAGAUACCCCCGUAGUC
rnacentral:rRNA from 1 species